rnacentral:lncRNA from 10 species
AGCGGAAGAACACACAAGCGGCUGGACGUUGAGAGGAUGUCCAGAGGGGCAUCUCGGCAGAAGAGCACUAACUGGCACCAGCAGGCCGUCAGGCCACCGACCAGUGGAAUUACAUGGAGUUUGGCUGGGGCGGUCAGAGGAGAGUCGGGGUCCCUGACAGGCCCGACUCCAGGGAAAAACCACCUUCCCAUUCCAUCUCCCUUCUUUUGCUGAGAGCUACCUCCACUCAUUAAAACCUUGCAUUCAUUCUCCAAGCCCACUUGUGAUCCAAUUCUUCCCGUACACCAAAGCAAGAACCGCGAGAUACAGAAAGCGCUCUGUCUUUGUAAUAAGAAAGGGGUCUAACUGAGCUGACUAACACAAGCCGCCUAUGGAUGGCAAAACUAGAAGAGUAGCCUGUAACACACACCCACUGGGGAUUCAGGAGCUGUAAACAUUCAACCUUAGAUGCUGCUGUGGAGUCAGAGCCCCACAACCUGCCCGUCUGCAUGCUUCCCCUAGAGGUCUGAGCAGCGGGGCACUGAAGAAGCAAGCCACUUCCCCUGUCGCACGCGAGGGGGACAAGUGAACUUUUCCAGUUUCAACUGGGGCUUGUCUAGGAUUGCAGAAGAUUUCCUGUAGACGUGACAUGCAAGAAAGCCCGUGAAGGUCGUGGUGCAUCACCUAACACAGCAGUUCACAAGAACCUCAAAUGUGGGAAUUUUUUUUCAUUAAAACAGUGGAUUAGCACAUGCUGGAUGGAUUGCAAGAUGCAGGCACAGGAUGUCCUAGAACAGGAUGGUGUGUUUCUAGAUAGCCAUCUCUUCUCAGUGGUAAUGAUAACAGCUGACACUGGCACAUGCCAAGGAUUAUCCCAAACACUUACAUGUACAAUUAAUUUAAUGCUCACAACACUAUAGAUACAAUUAUCACUACCUCUCCUUUAAAUAUGAGGAAGUUGAGGCACAGACAAUUGUCAAAAACAGUCACAUAUUACUUUGAUGGCAGUGGCAGCCAUCCGGAGUGACUGUUGCCGUCAUGCCUGCCACAGCAGGGAGGUGUGGCUGGGGCUGCAUUCUCCAUGGAGCUAGCAGGAGCUGGGGAUAAGCAAGAGCCCUGCCCCGUCUGAGCUGGGGCAGGAGCUCCCCAUGUGCUGCAACAGCUGCCUAAAUCAUGGCUGCAGACCUGGGCCUUCUGCUCCCUGGAGCAGACAGGAACCUCUCCCUCCCAGGUGCAACUGAAGCUGAAGAUCUGGGUAUCUGCAUUCUUGGGGACCCAGGAAAGCCCCCUUGCCCUUACAGGCUCAGAAAUACCUGCUCCCAAUGCCUGGCUUCUCCCUGCUCUUGGCAACCACUCCAAUUUUGGAGCAAAGUCAGGGCCAAGGCCAGGUGCUGUCACAGCCCAGUCAAGUGUGCACACACUCAAGAGCAGUGCUGACAUACCAGCUCCCUGCUGCCUCAGCCCCCUCCCGAUUUUGGGUAUCUAUGAGAAGGGAAGCUGAGGAAGGGCUGAGGACAGCUCAUUGCUGGCCUGCAGUUUGCCCCUUGGCAACUACAGCCUGGGUUCCACGAAUGGCAGCAGGAGACAAAUAGCUUCCUGAGUGGAAGGGUGUGGGUCCCCAGUGAGGCCCCACCUUCAGGCCAGGGAGAGCCUGAAGGCUGGGGCUCAGGCUGCCAGUCUCGCAGAUCAGAGUGAAUACUUGUGGUGCCUUUUCUGGGCCCUCCUGAGGCUACCCGUGGAUCAAUUGGUGCACACUUCCUCCUUUCUGAGGCCCAUAAGAGCCCUGGGCUCAGCCAGAGCUGAGCAGACAUCAGGACUACUGGCUGUAGAGAGGAGCUACGCACUCCAGGACCUCCUCUCUGCUAACAGUGGCAGAUGUCAGGAUGACUGGCUGCAGAAAGGAACUACCAAUUCCAGGGCCUUCUCUCCGCUGAGAGCAGCAGAGACAACAGGACAACCUGCUGCAGAGAGAAGCUACCCACCCCAGGGCCUCCUCUGAGCUAUUGUCACUCAAUAAAGCUCCUCUGCAUUUUGCUCACCCUUGACUUGUCUGCAUACCUCAGUCUUCCUGGACACAGGAGAAGAACUCGGAUUCAUGCAUGUCCAUGUGAAGAGACCACCAAACAGGCUUUGUGUGAGCAAUAAAGCUUUUAAUCACCUGGGUGCAGGUGGGCUGAGACCGAAAAGAGAGUCAGUGAAGGGAGAUAAGGGUGGGGCCGUUUUAUAGAUUUGGGUAGGUAAAGGAAAAUUACAGUCGAAGGGGAUUUGUUCUCUGGCGGACAGGAGUGGGGGUCUCAAGGUGCUCAGUGGGGGAGCUUUUUGAGCCAGGAUGAGCCAGGAAAAGGACUUUCACAAGGUAAUGUCGUCACUUAAGGCAAGGACUGGCCAUUUUCACUUCUCUUGUGGUGGAAUGUCAUCAGUUAAGGCGGGGCAGGGCAUUUUCACUUCUUUUGUGAUUCUUCAGUUACUUAAGGUCAUCUGGGUGUAUAUGUGCAAGUCACAGGGGAUGCGAUGGCUUGGAUUGGGCUCAGAGGCCUGACAUUCCUGCCUUCUUAUAUUAAUAAGAAAAAUAAAACAAAAUAAUGUUGAAGUGUUGGGGCAGCAAAAAUUUUUUGGGGGUGGUAUGGAGAGCGAAUGGGCGAUGUUUCUCAGGGCUGCUUCAAGCGGGAUUAGGGGCGGCGUGGGAACCUAGAGUGGGAGAGAUUAAGCUGAAGGGAGAUCUUGUGGUAAAGGGUGAUAUUGUGGGGAUGUUAGAAGAAACAUUUGUCGUAUAGAAUGAUUGAUGAUGGCCUGGAUAUGAUUUUGGAUGAAUUGAGAAACUAAACGGAAGAUACAAGGUCCGAAUAAAAGAAGGAGAAAAAUGGGUAUUAAAGGACUAAGAAUUAGGAGGACCCAGGACUUCCAAUUAGUGCCCAAGGGGGUUCAGCAUAAUUACUUGCUUGGUUGGCAAGUUUUUGGGCUCUAUCCUUGAGUUUUUUUAUGUUGUCAUACACCAGGCCAGAUAGAUUUAGGUAAAAACAACACUCUUCAUUUAAGAAUAUACAGAGUCUGCCUUUUUCAGCAGUUACUAAGUCAAGGCCUUGGCGGUUUUGGAGGACAACUGUAGCUAAAGAGUCAACUUGGGCCUGGAGGACUGAUAAAGUUUGUGAUAUGUCUGUGAUGCUAGCAGAGAAGUCAUUAGACAGGCUACAGAAGGUCGUGACAGAGGUUGAAAUGCCUGCUAUUCCAGUACCGAGAGCAAUAGUGGAAGCAGAAAGUCCUAAACCGAUCAUCAAGGGAAUUAGUGGAAUAACUCUUUUUUGUCGUGUCAGUGUCAUGAGGGGAACAGGGAGCUCUUUAGUCCUGUCAUGAGGGGAACAGGGAGCUCUUUGGUCCCAUUUGCAAAUUGAAUUUUGGGGGUAAGGAAAACUAGUGUGCAUGUGCCUGUCCAAUUAGCAGGUAGACACAUGUAGGUAGAGGAUCCACAGAGGAAGAAGAGACCUUGUGCGAGGCAAAACUGGAGAUGCAAAGUAAAAAGGUGAGAAGGAGUGCUGAAAGGGGUGUCUUGUACCCAGACUCCUAGGGAUCCAGCUAGGGCGGCAGCCGUCAGAGGUUGUAAUGGGGACUGAUGGGGUAACUGUGUAGAGGGGGAGGUUCAAUUUUCAUGGUGUAUGAGAAAACAUUGAGUAUCUACGAGCAACCUCUCACUGUUACUUUUGGGGCUGGGUAUAAGUAAACAAGAAGAGGGCCUGGGAGGAGAGUCUGAGGAGCAAGGGGAAGGUAGCCAAGGAUGGAGUGAAAUACAGGGCAAGUGUCUUCCUAAGCAAUAAUUACUGCUAAUAUUUUUAAGUUUGUCAGUAUUGAUAGAGGGCUUGUCUGUAAUAUGGAGCUGGAAGGCUCCAGUUGUUUCAGUGAUGUGUGUAGUUGGGCUUUAGAGAUGAAGAGUAAAGGAACAUCGAGAAGGUGGAAGAUUACCUAGGGGAAUUCCAGUGGGUUUUUGCUGAGAGAUACACAAAGGAGCUGCCACAGGAAUAGUAGUCUGUGUUGUGAGAGGUCCAAAUAUGGGGGGAGUAGAGUUAAUAUAAGGAGAAAGGUUUUUUAAAUAAGUGCGGAGGAGGGUGGCAGCUUGCUGAUGUGAAAUGUCUGAGGAAGUCUUGCUGGACCUGUCUGGAAAGUCAAUGAGUUCUUCAGGAGGGUAAAGGUGAGGGCUCUUAAAGGAAGUUCGGAGGUGUAAGGAGACAGGAGAUAUUGCCCAGUCUGUCUGUCUGUAAGGCAGGGACAGCUGUGUAGGCACUGGAAGAAAGGGAAAUGCAAAGCCAGCAGUUGUUCACUAAGGAGGGAUUAGAAGUGGCUAGGAGAGAAUGGGUAAGGUUGAUAGUGUGGUGGAGAUAGCUGGGGAGAGGUAAAGGAUGGCAUAAGAAUGGGAAUGAGAAUAAGAGUGAGUAUAGAAGUAAAGAAUAGAACUUCAUCAGCGUGGAAGUAUUGGAGGGUGCCCUGCCAGCAAAGAUCAUCUAUUCACUCUAAGAGGGAGUUAAGAGUGGUGGUUUGGGGAUAGCACCAAGAGAUAUCAGCUGUGAUGGCUUGAAGAAACAGUGUAAACUGGCAGUGUAAACAAGAGUAGGGCAUUUAUAAGUAGUUGAGAACGGAGAAUAGGAGUAUGACUAGACAGAAAAUAGUAGGGAUGACUAGUUUUUUGGGGCUUGGCCUAAGUGGUGGGGGUGACUUCGUAAAGCCCUGUUGCAAAAAGUAGGGUAAGGACGAACAGACCUAAUAGAAUGAAGGGAUGUAUUAGGCUCAUAAGGGAUAUUACUGUUCUUCAGAAAUAUGAGUAAGUUUAAGGGAAGUAGGGGAGAGUACUUACGACUUCCAGGAGGAAGAAGAGGGAUUAGGCUAGCUGUCUGAUGGACGCAGCUUUAUUCUGGAACGGUAAACCCAGUGUGGAGGAUCCUGCAGGUGGACGGCAGUCGGGGUACUAUAGAUGACUAAGUAGGGUCUGGUCCAUCGAGGUUGUAGAGUUUGAGGGGUCAGAUUCUUAACAAGAACUGAUCAUCCAGCUAGGGUGUCUUCAUAUGGCUGGGG